rnacentral:ncRNA from 16 species
UGAAUAUGAAAAUAUUCAGGUGCCAUUUUAGGUUUAAAAGGGAAUGUGGUUUAAUUCCACAGCAGCCCCCGCUACUGUAAUUGAGGACGAAUCUUUCACAAACCACUCUUUCAAAAAGGGAAGGGGAAGGGAAAGACAAGGGUGAAUCAUGAGCCAGGAGACCUGCCUGUAUAUGAAAGAUAAAC